UCAGCAGCAACAAGAAAGUCUUCAAAUUGUCAGUUUAUUUGAGCGCUGAUACAAUGCUGCCAGAGCAAAGUUAAAGCCAAGAACAGUUCAGUUUAGCGUAGUUUAUAAACUGAUCUACACGUGGCUUGACAUUC
rfam:Drosophila mojavensis strain TSC#15081-1352.22 Ctg01_10685, whole genome shotgun sequence.